rnacentral:lncRNA from 1 species
CGUUGACAGUUAAAGGAAUCCCUCUAAGGUUGGGAUAAUGAAGAGGCUGCUGCAGACUGUGCAGGGUGGUCUGUAUCACUGGUUUUUGUAUGUUUCAAUUGGAGGGAAUUUCCUGGGAAACAAAGCGAGUAUUUAGGAAUAUUGAAUUGCGGCAAAGUGAAUACGAAAUAAGCUACAACUACAUAUGGAACAGAUGAAAUGAAUGAGUAAUUAUAUUAGAGUGAAUAUUUUCUUUCCUUUUGCCAAUGAAUUUGUGUGGAGAACUAUUGAGGGAAAGGAAAGCGAAGACACGUGAAACUUCUGAAUACCAAACACGUGAGGAUAGACCAUAUGUCAGAAAUGAGAAAGUGUUUAAGCAGGAAAACAAAGGUUGAGAUGAAUGCGGGAAUGUCCAUGUAAGGCCACUGAGACGAAGGCGAAAAUAAGAUUUGCUGGAAAAAUUUGAUGAGUUUAUGAAGGGGCAAUAGGAUUACAUGUAACAUUAACAUGAAAUAGAUUUACAGAGCUUCAGAUGGAAAACGGGAAAAACCAUCAGAAAAUAUAAGACUUUGAAAGUGUAAACAAUAGGGAAAACAGAAAUGGAAAACGCAUUGUAAGCAGAAUGUUUGAAGCAUUGAAAGGGUGUGGUUCGAUGGUGAAUACAGUGUAAUAGACAAAUACAUGCAAUUAUUCAUCAGAAGUUUCCAGUACAUGCAUACAGUAUAAUAUCGCUGAAUAUAGUGUACAGGCGCGAAUUUAACAAUCAGAGAAAGAGCAAAACCGAAGACAAAUUAGGAAUGGGAGAAACAGCAAACGAUCGAAGAAACAUGUAAAUUUUACCUAAAGCAUGAACAAGUACAAAGGAUGGAAGAAACAUGUAAAUUUUACUUAAACCAUGAAGAAGUACCGACGCAGGUUGUCCGAGAGAAACAUAAAUCUUCAGGAAAGGUUGAGAGACAGAUUUAAAGGCGAGAGAUUUAAAGGCUCUAGAGAAAUACGAAACAGUAAAGAACAGAUGGAGUACCUACACAGGUCAUCCGAGACAAACCGAAAUGUUGAAGAAACCUUCAGCGAGAAAUUUAGAGGCUGCAGACAAACCGAAAACAGUAAAGAACAGAUGGAUUCGCUAUUGAAGAGUUCAGAAGUACAACGAAGAGUUGAGAGGGAGAGAAAUUAGGUUCGCUUAAACGACGAAGACGUACCUGCGCAGCUGGUAGGAGAGAAACCGAAAUCCUCAGCAAAGCUUCAGCGACAUAUUUAAAGUCUGUAGACAAAGAGAAAACAGUAAAGAAGAGAUGGAGUCGCCAUUGAAAUUCCGGUUAAACGACGACGAAGAACCUGCGCAGUUCGUCGGAAAUAAACAGAAGCCUUCACGAAAGCUUGAGAGAGAUGUACACAAACACAAAAGAGUAAAGAACAAGUGGCUUCACCAUUGAAGAGUUGAUGAGAAGUAAAAAGAACAGCGGAGAGGGAGAGAAAUUAGGGUUACAAAUUUGAGAAACUUCUAGAGAAAGUGAAGGGAAAAUGAGAGAGGCGUUUAUUGAUGUACAAUUAGUACUACGUUUAGUACAAUCAAAAGAUGCAUUGUUGGUCCUCUAAAUGUACAAGUUUUAAAUGUACAAUUAGUACUGCCUUUAGUACACUGAGCAGAUGCA